UACAGAGGGUGCAAGCGUUGUUCGGAAUCAUUGGGCGUAAAGGGCUCGUAGGCGGUCUGUUGCGUCGGGAGUGAAAACUCAGGGCUUAACCCUGAGCCUGCUUCCGAUACGGGCAGACUAGAGGUAUGCAGGGGAGAACGGAAUUCCUGGUGUAGCGGUGAAAUGCGCAGAUAUCAGGAGGAACACCGGUGGCGAAGGCGGUUCUCUGGGCAUUACCUGACGCUGAGGGGCGAAAGUGUGGGGAGCGAACAGG
rnacentral:rRNA from 1 species